GCCUGGCCGGCUCAGUUGGUAGAGCAUGUGACUCUUAAUCUCUCAAGGUUGUGAGUUCAAGCCCCACGUUGGGUG
rnacentral:tRNA from 1 species